ACACAGUUUAACAUGAUGGACUAUAUGACAGGACUGCUGCUUUUAACUCUCUGCUGGGCAGGUGUUGAUGGUCAGACUCUGACAGAAUCUGAACCAGCGAUUAAAAGACCUGGAGAAUCCCACAGAUUGACCUGUACAACAUCUGGAUUGUCAUUUAGUAGCUACUGGAUGGCCUGGAUCAGACAGGCUCCUGGAAAAGGACUGGAGUGGGUUGCGAGUAGCUAUGACAGUAAUAACAUCCGCUACUCUCAGUCAGUCCAAGGCCGGUUUACCGUCUCCAGAGACAACAGCAGAGAGCAGCUGUAUCUGCAGAUGAACAGUCUGAAGACUGAAGAUUCUGCUGUUUAUUAUUGUGCUCGAGAGCCACAGUGACUGGAGUUGGUUGAGCAGC